rfam:Baumannia cicadellinicola str. Hc (Homalodisca coagulata), complete genome.
CUUUAUGGCUAAAUUAGAGAUUGAUGCCUAUCUAUUUUAUAUUAAUUUGGAUUAUUAUAAUGUCUCUAAGUUUUAAUACGAAAGCCAAAAUAAUUGCUGAUUUUGGCAGAAAUAAU